rnacentral:rRNA from 1 species
UACGAAGGGGGCUAGCGUUGCUCGGAAUCACUGGGCGUAAAGCGCACGUAGGCGGAUCUUUUAAGUCAGGGGUGAAAUCCCAAGGCUCAACCUUGGAACUGCCUUUGAUACUGGGGAUCUCGAGUCCGGGAGAGGUGAGUGGAACUGCGAGUGUAGAGGUGAAAUUCGUAGAUAUUCGCAAGAACACCAGUGGCGAAGGCGGCUCACUGGCCCGGAACUGACGCUGAGGUGCGAAAGCGUGGGGAGCAAACAGGG